rnacentral:rRNA from 1 species
AGGUAGCUUGCUACUUAACCUAGCGGCGGACGGGUGAGUAAUGCUUAGGAAUCUGCCUAUUAGUGGGGGACAACAUCUCGAAAGGGAUGCUAAUACCGCAUACGUCCUACGGGAGAAAGCAGGGGACCUUCGGGCCUUGCGCUAAUAGAUGAGCCUAAGUCGGAUUAGCUAGUUGGUGGGGUAAAGGCCUACCAAGGCGACGAUCUGUAGCGGGUCUGAGAGGAUGAUCCGCCACACUGGGACUGAGACACGGCCCAGACUCCUACGGGAGGCAGCAGUGGGGAAUAUUGGACAAUGGGGGGAACCCUGAUCCAGCCAUGCCGCGUGUGUGAAGAAGGCCUUUUGGUUGUAAAGCACUUUAAGCGAGGAGGAGGCUACCGAGAUUAAUACUCUUGGAUAGUGGACGUUACUCGCAGAAUAAGCACCGGCUAACUCUGUGCCAGCAGCCGCGGUAAUACAGAGGGUGCAAGCGUUAAUCGGAUUUACUGGGCGUAAAGCGCGCGUAGGUGGCCAAUUAAGUCAAAUGUGAAAUCCCCGAGCUUAACUUGGGAAUUGCAUUCGAUACUGGUUGGCUAGAGUAUGGGAGAGGAUGGUAGAAUUCCAGGUGUAGCGGUGAAAUGCGUAGAGAUCUGGAGGAAUACCGAUGGCGAAGGCAGCCAUCUGGCCUAAUACUGACACUGAGGUGCGAAAGCAUGGGGAGCAAACAGGAUUAGAUACCCUGGUAGUCCAUGCCGUAAACGAUGUCUACUAGCCGUUGGGGCCUUUGAGGCUUUAGUGGCGCAGCUAACGCGAUAAGUAGAC